rnacentral:rRNA from 1 species
UACGAAGGGGGCGAGCGUUGUUCGGAUUUACUGGGCGUAAAGGGCGCGCAGGCGGCGCAUUUUGUCAGGCGUGAAAGCCCCGGGCUUAACCUGGGAACUGCGUUUGAUACGGAUGGGCUAGAGUUCGGGAGAGGAGAGUGGAAUUCCCAGUGUAGAGGUGAAAUUCGUAGAUAUUGGGAAGAACACCGGUGGCGAGGGCGGCUCUCUGGACCGAGACUGACGCUGAGGCGCGAAAGCGUGGGGAGCAAACAGG